rnacentral:misc_RNA from 1 species
AACGCACAUUGCGCCCUUUGGUAUUCCUUAGGGCAUGCCUGUUCGAGCGUCAUCUAACCCCUCAAGCACUGCUUGGUGUUGGGCGUUUGUCCCCCCUCUGGUGUGGGACUCGCCUAGAAUUCAUUGGCAGCCUCCGUAUCGGGCUAUCGAGCGCAGCAGAUCAGCGCCUCGGGCCCGGCAUGCAGGCGUCCAGGAAGCUACUCCAACCUUUUGACCUCGGAUCAGGUAGGGAUACCCGCUGAACUUAA